rnacentral:lncRNA from 1 species
GGACUGUGUCCCUUGGACCUGUGAGGGGGAUUUCUUCUCUGGCCUACCACCAUCAGACCCGGGAAAAUUCCUGUCCUGCCUGCUGCUCCUGGACUUUUGGUGAUUAACUAGCCCAGCCCACUGGACAUUCUGAGCAUAUCCUGGAGGUCUUCCUCUUGUGCCUGCUGCAACGGUACUCUUUUUGUGCUAGUAUUUUCUUCUUGGCAGCCUACUUUGCUGACCCUCUGCAUCUUCACAUUACCAAGUGGUCAGCGCUCCGCAGAUGAACCAGUGCACCAACCAUGAAUCAAUCAAAACAGCAAUGAGACUGAAAUGGAACGGUGUUUCUACUAUUUAUUUAGAAGAUUUUUUGAAGAACAGAUGAAACUAGCCCAGAAAAAGAACAACAGAGUGAAGAAAGAGAAGCGUCCCUGUUGAUUGCCACCAUCGUGCAAAGACUGGGAGAAAGGUGUGACCGAAGGAAGAGUCCCAUUGUUUUGUGUCCCAUCCUAUUAUGAUCAGUUACAUUGCAAGUUUCCCAUUUGUAUUUAAUGUUUUUGUAGCUGAAACGCUGAAGUCUGUAAGGAGAAGUCUGCAUAUGCUUGGA